ACAGCUUUGAUAAGUUAAAGUGAUCAUUCAUAUAAUUAUGUAUGUUACUUUCUUGAUAUUUAAACCUAAUGUGUCGCUCCGAUUACUUCCGGCUAUCAGAAACAAACAUUAACAACAUAGGCAAAACAAAUGGUGAGAAUAAAAUGUAACAUGUUGGUUUCUGUACAUGGCAGUAUACGUUGAAAGAGACUUAAAAUAAUUGGCUGCCUGUAUUGUUUAGUGCACUUAUCUUUCAUAUACACAUGAAGACAAAUCUCAAGAGUUAAACAUCAUUGAACAACAUAGUCACACAAUAGGUGACCUAUCGGGAAGUGAAACCAAAGCACAGAAAAACUUAUGUGAUGACUAAUGAGCUAGUAAACAACGUACCGGCCAUCAGCCAGGUGGUGAGACCCACAUGGUGAGUGAGUAGGUGGAGAGUGAGUAGGUGGAGGGCCCAUUAAUAGGAUAUUCGGGGUUGAGGUUUAUAAUCAUGUAUAACGAGAUGAAGUAUAUAUG
rnacentral:lncRNA from 1 species